UUCCUAAUAGCUUAAAGGAAGAGCAGUAUACUUCUAAUUUACGGGACGGAGUUCGAGUCUUCGUUAGGAAU
rnacentral:tRNA from 1 species